GAUCAUGGCUCAGGACGAACGCUGGCGGCGUGCCUAACACAUGCAAGUCGAACGGAAGUUAGAGCUUCGGUUUUAACUUUAGUGGCGAACGGGUGAGUAACGCGUGAGGAACCUGCCUUUCAGUGGGGGGACAACAGUUGGAAACGACUGCUAAUACCGCAUGACACUUUUGGGAGACAUCUCCUGGAAGUCAAAGCUUUAUGUGCUGAAAGAUGGCCUCGCGUCUGAUUAGCUGGUUGGUGAGGUAACGG
rnacentral:rRNA from 1 species